AGGAUAUGCUUCAGUAUCUUCAUGGAUGCUUUUUCUACAGCACAACCUAAAACAAGGAAAAAGUGUUAAACAUAUGUCUAUGUCAUGGAUACGGGGCUACAAGGGUUAAAGUCCUACCCCUCCUAUCACCUACACCCUCUUGUUUCUCAGCGGUUUUGGGCUCCUCAGAGCAACCGCGAUCCCCCAGGCCCUUUGUUCCCCUUGUUUUGUGUGUGGGAUCUCAUCUUGGAGGAGCCGAUCCCUGGCCGCCACAUUCCUCUUCGGCCGGCUGGGCCCCUAUAACUACCGGUCGGCCACAUCAUCUCGGAUUACCAGUGUCCUUUGACCCAGUUUGCUCCAGUGGCCUUUUGCCCCAGAGGUCCCCUCUUUUGGGGUUUGGUUUCCCUUAGGGUGGGUGAGAAGUGGGGUGAUUGCCGGAGGAAAGCUCCAUUGGGAACUGAGAGUUUCGGAUCCCCCUACAACCCCUAUUCUCCCUGGCCUUCCCGGUAUCAGUUUGCCUACGUCUAACUCCAGUCCCCUGCCAUGGAUUACAUCGCUUUUUGGACUGUAGCUUCUGGGGACCAAGGACACCCUAGAAGUGCCGCCGUUCCCCUGGAUCACCCCGACAUCAUCAACCACAUACCACUGGACACUAUGGAAGAAUGGACUCUAGGGAUGGCACCAGCCUGUCUGGAGGGGCAGGAAUGGCGGGAAAAUUGUGGGACGGCCAGUGCUCUUAUCAAGAUGAGUUUUAGGUAUAAAAAAUGUGUAUUUUCCCCAAUAAAAUGUUCUUCUUUGUUCACCUAA